AAGCAUGACAUCCACCUUAGAGAAAACAGGGAGACAUCAGUAAAGCAGGAAGAGUCUCCCAGAGAUUAGAGGGACUCAGGCAAGCAAAGCCUGGUAAAGAAUCUACAACCCUGUGUUGAGAGAAGACUGUGUUCUAAUGGAGAGCGGAAGAGAUGGAGUCUGAAAGUCUGAUAAAAUGGGCCUGUGCCUCCAAGUAUAAUAGUGGUGCCUCCUGAUUUUGCAGUAUCUCUAGACAAAUGAAGCCACAAGGGUGAAGGCACAGGAUCCCUUUUAGAAUGGAAGACACAGAAUAGAGUUUGAGAUACAACUUCUGAAACGGCAGCCUCCUGAGAGCCUGAUUCCCGCUAAAGUGUUGCCGCUCCGCAUUUUUCACACUGAACGCGGCGAAGACAACGAACAUUAAUUAGGAUUACGGAGCCAGGGAGGCUUACCGCCCUGAGACAGCUCACAAGAAAGAGAAUGCCACUUCUUUUUUUGGAUGCCAUUCUGAGUGUCAUAUUCCUUGAGGGCGACUGGCGCACUGGCUCAUAUUUGGCGCACAAAUGCAUAUAUGAGAUUGGAAGAAACAUGGAACACUUCUCUCCUGCAGCUGGAGCCCAAGGCUAUGGAAUUUCCUUUCUUAGGAGACCCUGAUAGAAGCAAAGAGACACUGGAAGUUAACAUCUUGUUGAGAGAGCCCUGAGCUGACAAGAGGAUUCUGGGUGAUCACAAAAUGUCUCCCUAGAGUGACUUAAUACUAGAAAAGUAACAGUAAAUCAAAUAAACCCUCUGCAAACACGUCUAGUCCUCCUAGGACUCUACCCUGGGUUGGCAUCUUUCAUGAUGGAACUUGCAGAGGAAUCAGAGCCGAGUAAAGAGAAUAGGAAAGGCAGAGGACGCAAUCUUUUUCUUCCCGCUGAUCGCCUCCUUUCCACCUCCCACCUGAGUUCUGACCGAUGCAAAAGGAGAGCUCCCCGUGCUGGGAACACCCUUCCCUUCCUCCCUCUCACCUGGGUAACUCCUCUCUUCCUGCAAGCCUUGCCUCACAUUUCGUCUUCCAAGGCCUGCCCCACCUCUGUGGUACCUUUAAAUCUGUGUUGAAGCCAACAUCAGAUUAUGAAUCAUCUGGAGAGCAUCUGAGAUGGAACAAGGUGUCCGGACUAAGAACAACAUUGCAAAAACGUUAAAUAACACACAUGUUGUGGGCAUCAGCCCCUUCUGUGGCCUUCCCCACACUCGUGGCAUCCUCGGGGGUAGCUCUAAUCUCAGCAGUGG